rnacentral:rRNA from 1 species
GGCAGCCGCCGCGGGAACACCGGCGGCCCGAGUGGUGAUCGUGAUUAUUGGGUCUAAAGGGUCCGUAGCCGGUUUGGUCAGUCCUCCGGGAAAUCUGAUAGCUCAACUAUUAGGCUUUCGGGGGAUACUGCCAGACUUGGAACCGGGAGAGGUAAGAGGUACUACAGGGGUAGGAGUGAAAUCUUGUAAUCCCUGUGGGACCACCUGUGGCGAAGGCGUCUUACCAGAACGGGUUCGACGGUGAGGGACGAAAGCUGGGGGCACGAACCGGAUUAGAUACCCGGGUAGUCCCAGCCGUAAACGAUGCUCGCUAGGUGUCAGGCAUGGCGCGACCGUGCCUGGUGCCGCAGGGAAGCCGUGAAGCGAGCCACCUGGGAAGUACGGCCGCAAGGCUGAAACUUAAAGGAAUUGGGCGGGGGAGCACAACAACGGGUGGAGCCCUGCGGUUUAAUUGGACUCAACGCCGGACAACUCACCGGGGGCGACAGCAAUAUGUAGGCCAAGCUGAAGACUUUGCCUGAAUCGCUGAGAGGAGGUGCAUGG